GACAGCUUGGCCGAGUGGUUAAGGCGUUAGCCUGCUAAGUUAAUGGGGCAACCCGCGUGAGUUCGAAUCUCACAGCUGCGUUUUCCU
rnacentral:tRNA from 1 species